AUUGAACGCUGGCGGCAUGCCUUACACAUGCAAGUCGAACGGCAGCACGGGUGCUUGCACCUGGUGGCGAGUGGCGAACGGGUGAGUAAUACAUCGGAACGUACCUUAUCGUGGGGGAUAACGCAGCGAGAGUUGCGCUAAUACCGCAUACGCCCUGAGGGGGAAAGCGGGGGACCGUAAGGCCUCGCGCGAUUAGAGCGGCCGAUGUCUGAUUAGCUUGUUGGUGAGGUAAAAGCUCACCAAGGCGAUGAUCAGUAGCUGGUCUGAGAGGACGAUCAGCCACACUGGGACUGUGACACGGCCCAGACUCCUACGGGAGGCAGCAGUGGGGAAUUUUGGACAAUGGGGGCAACCCUGAUCCAGCAAUGCCGCGUGAGUGAAGAAGGCCUUCGGGUUGUAAAGCUCUUUUGUCAGGGAAGAAACAGCAGCUCUAACACAGUCUGCGAAUGACGGUACCUGAAGAAUAAGCACCGGCUAACUACGUGCCAGCAGCCGCAGUAA
rnacentral:rRNA from 1 species